rnacentral:rRNA from 1 species
GAGGGGCGGGGGCUGGACCUCUCGGGGUUACAGCCUUGCUGAAUUAUUCACCCUUGUCUUUUGCGUACUUCUUGUUUCCUUGGUGGGUUCGCCCACCACUAGGACAAACAUAAACCUUUUGUAAUUGCAAUCAGCGUCAGUAACAAAUUAAUAAUUACAACUUUCAACAACGGAUCUCUUGGUUCUGGCAUCGAUGAAGAACGCAGCGAAAUGCGAUAAGUAGUGUGAAUUGCAGAAUUCAGUGAAUCAUCGAAUCUUUGAACGCACAUUGCGCCCUUUGGUAUUCCAAAGGGCAUGCCUGUUCGAGCGUCAUUUGUACCCUCAAGCUUUGCUUGGUGUUGGGCGUCUUGUCUCUAGCUUUGCUGGAGACUCGCCUUAAAGUAAUUGGCAGCCGGCCUACUGGUUUCGGAGCGCAGCACAAGUCGCACUCUCUAUCAGCAAAGGUCUAGCAUCCAUUAAGCCUUUUUUUCAACUUUUGACCUCGGAUCAGGUAGGGAUACCCGCUGAACUUAAGCAUAUCAAUAAGCGGAG